rnacentral:rRNA from 1 species
GGCUCAGGAUGAACGCUAGCGGCAGGCCUAAUACAUGCAAGUCGAACGAUAGUUGGGGUUUACUCCAACGAAAAGUGGCGCACGGGUGCGUAACGCGUAUGCAACCUACCUUAUUCAGGGGGAUAGCCCGAAGAAAUUCGGAUUAACACCGCAUAAAAUCACAGCUCAGCAUUGAGUAAUGAUCAAAUAUUUAUAGGAAUAAGAUGGGCAUGCGUGUCAUUAGCUAGUUGGCGGGGUAACGGCCCACCAAGGCGACGAUGACUAGGGGAUCUGAGAGGAUGACCCCCCACACUGGUACUGAGACACGGACCAGACUCCUACGGGAGGCAGCAGUAAGGAAUAUUGGUCAAUGGAGGCAACUCUGAACCAGCCAUGCCGCGUGCAGGAAGACAGCCCUCUGGGUCGUAAACUGCUUUUAUU